rnacentral:lncRNA from 1 species
GAUAUUUCAAUUGAAAAAUAAAAACUGCCCUACACAAAAAAAUAAAUAAGUCGCACAGCGGGAUGGGUCCGCAGAAAUUUGGAGUCAAACGAAAUUCACGGGCAAAUCAUGCAUUAUACAAAGACUACAAUUUCGGCAAAAGCGGGGAAUAUCAUUUCGUCUGAAAAGAAAAGGGCAGUCUUAUUCCAUGAUAUAAAACGAAGCUGUGAAACAAAUACAGAGACGUGCAAAAAACGGCAUACACGGCAGAGCAGUCUUGAAAGGAGAC